rnacentral:rRNA from 1 species
UACAGAGGGUGCAAGCGUUAAUCGGAAUUACUGGGCGUAAAGCGAGCGUAGUCGGUUAUUUAAGUCGGAUGUGAAAUCCCCGGGCUCAACCUGGGAAUUGCAUUCGAUACUGGAUAGCUAGAGUUCGGCAGAGGGAAGCGGAAUUUCUGGUGUAGCGGUGAAAUGCGCAGAUAUCAGGAGGAACACCGGUGGCGAAGGCGGUUCUCUGGGCAUGUCCUGACGCUGAGGAGCGAAAGUGUGGGGAGCAAACAGG